rnacentral:rRNA from 1 species
GAUGAACGCUGGCGGCGUGCCUAAUACAUGCAAGUCGAGCGAACAGACGAGGAGCUUGCUCCUCUGACGUUAGCGGCGGAUGGGUGAGUAACACGUGGAUAACCUACCUAUAAGACUGGGAUAACUUCGGGAAACCGGAGCUAAUACCGGAUAAUAUAUUGAACCGCAUGGUUCAAUAGUGAAAGACGGUUUUGCUGUCACUUAUAGAUGGAUCCGCGCCGCAUUAGCUAGUUGGUAAGGUAACGGCUUACCAAGGCAACGAUGCGUAGCCGACCUGAGAGGGUGAUCGGCCACACUGGAACUGAGACAAGGUCCAGACUCCUAAGGGAGGCAGCAGUAGGGAAUCUUCCGCAAUGGGCGAAAGCUUGACGGAGCAACGCCGCGUGAGUGAUGAAGGUUUUCGGAUCGUAAAACUCUGUUAUUAGGGAAGAACAAAUGUGUAAGUAACUAUGCACGUCUUGACGGUACCUAAUCAGAAAGCCACGGCUAACUACGUG